ensembl:snoRNA
UACAUGUCAAAUUCAGUGCUGUCCUACUAUGGCAAGCACUGGCCCAGAGGCUGCCAUAGAAACUGUCAUUCUUGGGCUCCAUUCCCCAUGCUUGGGGUCAGGGAUGAAUUGGCCAUAGACAGCA